AGAGCUGCGUCUUUCAUUAAUUUUUUUUUAGUUAAACGAUAUUUCUGAUUAUGGGUCCUUAUGAGUCUGAAAGAUUGAUAAGUUGGUGAUGUUUUGGCGUUGAAAUUACUAAAAAGUAUUAAGUAUUUGAUUUUUAAUGAAUUUUCGAACAUAGACUAUUCUGCUGAAAAUUGUGCUUCGCUGCACAGAAUUUCUGAGUUUGAGGGAGAUUUUGACUAGGUUCCUUUAUUGUGAAAAAUCUGAGAAAAAUCAAGGAUAAACUUUGAGAUGUUGUUCUGAUCUCUACCAAAUUUCAGGUCAUUUUGUUGUAUGGUCUAAGUUUGACGGAUUUUACAAGUUGUUGUAUCCCUGCUGAGUUUUGUAUUUGCUGCACUGACACAUUUCGGAAAAAAAUGGUCAUAUCUUUUAACUCGGGUAUCGGGUUAGCGCACGGGUUAUUGAUUCUAAAACUAGACUCGUAUGUCUUUUGGUAUAUGUGAAGGUUGUGGCUUAGUUUGUACCAGGUUAAAUCAAUUUUUGAUUCGAAGUUGAUAGACGUGUAGAAUCUGUGAUUUUGGACAGGUUAUGGUGUAACUUCGGAUGAGCAUAACUUUGUCAUCAGGACUCCGUUUUUAACAAACUUUAUAUCAAAAUUUAUGUACCGGAAGUGUACUUUCUAACGGUGGUGGUUGCAUGAACUAGUUCUAAACCUAUUAAAUGUUAUGAUCAUUUUAAGACAGAUUAGUUGUGGAAUAUGUUAUCUUUUUGGAGAAUUAGGUGGUGUUUGAGUUUACACUUAUUGUAGGACAUUUCUAGGUAUUGGCAUGGACAUAUUUGUAUCCGUUAGACAUUGUUUAGCUUCUUGUUAGCUUUAUAACCUUGUGUCGAGUAUUCGUUGAAUUCGUAACUAAUAUGAGUUAACUUGUGGCUAGGUAAAGAGCCGGUCAAUCGGGAGGUGCCGAAACCUUAGUUUGGCAUACUUCGGUCGACACAAAGGUCACAGGUGGUCGUAGAGUUGGUCCACUACCAGUCGGCAUUUUGGGGACACUUGGAUUAGUAUCGAGUGUUAGUAUUUUUGGUCGAGUCGGUUGUAACGGUCAAACUCUGAUUUUUGUUAAAAUCAUUUUGUGACUAAUGUUGUCAAGUACUUUAUGACUUCAAGUUUUUAAUUAUGUGGGAAACUCCGUUAAUGUUUAAUUACUUGUGUUGGGAUAAGAGACAGCAACUUUUGUACUAUGUAAGUUCGUAAAGUUGUUGACACCUUGUUUAUAAUAAUGUUAAGUCUUCCGCUGGGGUUUUACUC